rnacentral:rRNA from 1 species
GUGGGGAAUAUUGGACAAUGGGGGGAACCCUGAUCCAGCCAUGCCGCGUGUGUGAAGAAGGCCUUUUGGUUGUAAAGCACUUUAAGCGAGGAGGAGGCUACCGAGAUUAAUACUCUUGGAUAGUGGACGUUACUCGCAGAAUAAGCACCGGCUAACUCUGUGCCAGCAGCCGCGGUAAUACAGAGGGUGCAAGCGUUAAUCGGAUUUACUGGGCGUAAAGCGCGCGUAGGUGGCCAAUUAAGUCAAAUGUGAAAUCCCCGAGCUUAACUUGGGAAUUGCAUUGGAUGCUGGUUGGCUAGAGUAUGGGAGAGGAUGGUAGAAUUCCAGGUGUAGCGGUGAAAUGCGUAGAGAUCUGGAGGAAUACCGAUGGCGAAGGCAGCCAUCUGGCCUAAUACUGACACUGAGGUGCGAAAGCAUGGGGAGCAAACAGGAUUAGAAACCCCGGUAGUCC